rnacentral:rRNA from 1 species
AUUGCCCUAGUAACGGCGAGUGAAGCGGCAACAGCUCAAAUUUGAAAGCUGGCCUUCGGGUCCGCAUUGUAAUUUGUAGAGGAUGCUUUGGGUGAAACGCCAGUCUAAGUUCCUUGGAACAGGACGUCAUAGAGGGUGAGAAUCCCGUAUGUGACUGGAAAUGUUAACCUAUGUAAAGCUCCUUCGACGAGUCGAGUUGUUUGGGAAUGCAGCUCUAAAUGGGAGGUAAAUUUCUUCUAAAGCUAAAUAUUGGCGAGAGACCGAUAGCGCACAAGUAGAGUGAUCGAAAGAUGAAAAGCACUUUGGAAAGAGAGUUAAAAAGCACGUGAAAUUGUUGAAAGGGAAGCGCUUGCAAUCAGACUUGUUUAAACUGUUCGGCCGGUCUUCUGACCGGUUUACUCAGUUUGGACAGGCCAGCAUCAGUUUCGGCGGCCGGAUAAAGGCUCUGGGAAUGUGGCCUUCACUUCGGUGAAGGUGUUAUAGCCCAGGGUGUAAUACGGCCAGCCGGGACUGAGGUCCGCGCUUCGGCUAGGAUGCUGGCGUAAUGGUUGUAAGCGACCCGUCUUGAAACACGGACCAAGGAGUCUAACAUCUAUGCGAGUGUUCGGGUGUCAAACCCCUGCGCGUAAUGAAAGUGAACGGAGGUGGGAACCGCAAGGUGCACCAUCGACCGAUCCUGAUGUCUUCGGAUGGAUUUGAGUAAGAGCAUAGCUGUUGGGACCCGAAAGAUGGUGAACUAUGCCUGAAUAGGGUGAAGCCAGAGGAAACUCUGGUGGAGGCUCGCACCGGUUCUGACGUGCAAAUCGAUCGUCAAAUUUGGGUAUAGGGGCGAAAGACUAAUCGAACCAUCUAGU